GGCCUUCGGGUUGUAAAGUCCUUUCGUGGAGGACGAAAAGGUGGGUUCUAAUACAAUCUGCUAUUGACGUGAAUCCAAGAAGAAGCACCGGCUAACUCCGUGCCAGCAGCCGCGGUAAUACGGGGGGUGCAAGCGUUAAUCGGAAUCACUGGGCGUAAAGGGUGCGUAGGCGGUACGUUAGGUCUGUCGUGAAAUCCCCGGGCUCAACCUGGGAAUGGCGGUAGAAACCGGCGCACUAGAGUAUGGGAGAGGGUGGUGGAAUUCCAGGUGUAGCGGUGAAAUGCGUAGAUAUCUGGAGGAACAUCAGUGGCGAAGGCGGCCACCUGGCCCAAUACUGACGCUGAGGCACGAAAGCGUGGGGAGCAAACAGGAUUAGAUACCCUGGUAGUCCACGCCCUAAACGAUGAAUACUAGAUGUUUGGUGCCUAGCGUACUGAGUGUCGUAGCUAACGCGAUAAGUAUUCCGCCUGGGAAGUACGGCCGCAAGGUUAAAACUCAAAGGAAUUGACGG
rnacentral:rRNA from 1 species